rnacentral:lncRNA from 1 species
GGGUUAGGAUUUGGUUUAGGAUUUAGGAUUAGGGUUAGGAUUUGGUUUAGGAUUUAGGAUUAGGGUUAGGAUUUGAUUAGGAUUUGAUUUAAGAUUGAGAUUUGAUUUAGGAUUGAGAUUUGAUUUAAAAUGAGGAUUUGAUUUAGGGUUUAGGAUUUGAUGAGGGUUUGUCAAGGACAAAGACUCGAUGAGGGAAAACAUACACAAAAAGG